ensembl:snRNA U6 U6 spliceosomal RNA
GUGCUCGCUUCAGCAGCACAUAUAUACUAAAAUUGGAAUGAUACAGAGAAGAUUAGCAUGGCCCCUGUGCAAAGGUGACACGCAAAUUCGUGAAGCAUUCCACAUUUUU